AUUGAACGCUGGCGGCAGGCCUAACACAUGCAAGUCGAACGGUAACAGGAAGAAGCUUGCUUCUUUGCUGACGAGUGGCGGACGGGUGAGUAAUGUCUGGGAAACUGCCUGAUGGAGGGGAUAACUACUGGAAACGGUAGCUAAUACCGCAUAACGUCGCAAGACCAAAGAGGGGGACCUUCGGGCCUCUUGUCAUCGGAUGUGCCCAGAUGGGAUUAGCUAGUAGGUGGGGUAACGGCUCACCUAGGCGACGAUCCCUAGCUGGUCUGAGAGGAUGACCAGCCACACUGGAACUGAGACACGGUCCAGACUCCUACGGGAGGCAGCAGUGGGGAAUAUUGCACAAUGGGCGCAAGCCUGAUGCAGCCAUGCCGCGUGUAUGAAGAAGGCCUUCGGGUUGUAAAGUACUUUCAGCGGGGAGGAAGGGAGUAAAGUUAAUACCUUUGCUCAUUGACGUUACCCGCAGAAGAAGCACCGGCUAACUCCGUG
rnacentral:rRNA from 1 species